AGGGGUGGAAUAACUCACUAACCAUUCCAUCACUUACAACAUCCAAUCAGGUUCUGCCAUGUCAUCAACCAUUAUUUCCAUCACUCACACCCUUUUUUGCUGGAAAUGGUCAUCACUUGUACAAAUUCCAUCACUCACUAAUUUUUACCCACAACCGUUCCAUUUUCAGUUUUGAAAACGCGUGCUCCAUUUGACGCGUUAUAUGUAAAACGCGUGUUUCAUAGGGGCGGCGCCGGUGUUAAAACGCGUUAUAAACUUCAUCACGGCAAAUAACUGAGGUGCCCCGGGUCCUCUAAUGUACUCACAACACAUUCAAGGCUUAUACACUCCAAAUAAAUAGAAAAAAACACAGAGCUUCCAUCAGACAACACACACCUAUCGAUCUCCUCUCCCUCUCCGAUAGAACCCCGAUGACCGGAAUGAAGCUCCAGCCGAUGUUCCACCUGCAACAGCCCCCCCCCCCCCCCCUCCGAUGAACUUCAGCGGCGGCGGCACCACCGUAGACGGUGGUCGGUGUCUCGGACCGGAGGUCGGCAUCAUGGUCCGGCGGUCGGUGUCAAAGUUCGGCGGUCCGUAUCAUUAACCGGCGGGUUUCUGGAAAGAGGUUGGUUCUAUUCUCCAAUUCUAUUCGAUGAAUGAUGAUGAUGGCAGUGGUUAUCGUCUGGAUUACGGCGACGGUUCGCCGGUGACGUUGUGCAGGGGAGCUCCGUCAAACAGGUUAGUGAGGAUGGUGAUGUUGAUUGAUGAUUCUGAUGAUGUUAAAAUCGUUGUCGGCAGCCAGCCGACGGCCGGAGCUGCACCGGCGACGGCGGCAUCAGCAGCAAGGGUCAGCGGUGGUGUAUAGUUCUCCGACAAGUUUUCCGAUCUGAGUUAUGUUCGGGCCAGAUUUAAGACGAUUCGGGUUAUGUCUUGGUGCAGUUUAUUUGGUUCAAAUCAUCAUGUCAUGGUUCGUUUCAGUCAGCUUUGGUUUCGGGUCAACCCGAGUCAACUCGGUCAGCCUACUCGACAAAGCGACAUGAGAGUUUCGGUAAUAGAUUAAAGAAACGAUUUUGUUACGUUAUAUUUCUAGUUUAAACUUACGUGACAAACGAGCUCGAACCAAUAUAGCUUCCAUUUUGAUACUUUUGAUAAAAUACUUACAUAGUUAUUGCUUA